rnacentral:rRNA from 1 species
GAUGAACGCUGGCGGCGUGCCUAAUACAUGCAAGUCGAGCGAACAGACGAGGAGCUUGCUCCUCUGACGUUAGCGGCGGACGGGUGAGUAACACGUGGAUAACCUACCUAUAAGACUGGGAUAACUUCGGGAAACCGGAGCUAAUACCGGAUAAUAUAUUGAACCGCAUGGUUCAAUAGUGAAAGACGGUUUUGCUGUCACUUAUAGAUGGAUCCGCGCCGCAUUAGCUAGUUGGUAAGGUAACGGCUUACCAAGGCAACGAUGCGUAGCCGACCUGCGAGGGUGAUCGGCCACACUGGAACUGAGACACGGUCCAGACUCCUACGGGAGGCAGCAGUAGGGAAUCUUCCGCAAUGGGCGAAAGCCUGACGGAGCAACGCCGCGUGAGUGAUGAAAGUCUUCGGAUCGUAAAACUCUGUUAUUAGGGAAGAACAAAUUUGUAAGUAACUAUGCACGUCUUGACGGUACCUAAUCAGAAAGCCACGGCUAACUACGUG